rnacentral:lncRNA from 1 species
CCAGAUCAAACAUAUAACAUUAAUAAAUAUGUGACGUAUAAACUUAUUAGAAUCCAGAUCCAUAAUUAAGAGGGAACAUUUUUGUUGCAAACAAGUCCCUUAAACCUAAUAAAAUAGAAUCCUAAUUGCUUCAAUGUCCCUCAUCUCCAAAGCAGUGAUGAUUGAAUGGUCAGAGUACUAACAUAGAAUAUUUUUUAUACCAAAGUUUGAAUGAACAAUCUAUAUCCUUCAAAAAAAAAUGCAUAGCCUGACAAAUUUAAGGCCAAGUCCCACACUUGGUCUCAUUCCCAUACUUUCCUCAUCAAUA